rnacentral:misc_RNA from 1 species
GUGAAGAACGCAGCGAAAUGCGAUAAGUAAUGUGAAUUGCAGAAUUCAGUGAAUCAUCGAAUCUUUGAACGCACCUUGCACCCUUUGGCAUUCCGAAGGGUAUGCUCGUUUGAGUGUCAUUGUACUCUCACACUUCCAAUCUUUGGAUUGGGAGCAGUGGACUUGGGUGUUGCUGCUUACUGUGGCUCACCUCAAAUCGAUUCGUGCACCUCUUGGUUGGACAUAGUACGGCGUGAUAAGUGUCUUCGCCGGCACCUCAGUAGAGGGUGGCUGAUCAGGAGCUCUGUGCUUCAAACCGUCCUCGGACAAAAACUGACAACUUGACCUCAAAUCGAGUAGGACUACCCGCUGAACUUAAGCAUAUCAAUAAGCGGAGGA